rfam:Pseudomonas caspiana strain FBF102 scaffold00007, whole genome shotgun sequence.
UGUUGAAACCGCUCUUCGGAACGGUUUCCUGAUAAAAGGAUUGCCCACAUGGCACUCAGCGUUGAAGAAAAAGCUCAGAUCGUAACCGACUACCAGCAAGCUGUU